AGAGAAUUGCUUGAACCCAGGAGGCAGAGGUUGCCGUGAGCUGAGAUCCUGCCACUGCACUCCAGCCUGGGUGACAGAG
rnacentral:snRNA from 1 species